rnacentral:rRNA from 1 species
UACGUAGGGUGCAAGCGUUGUCCGGAAUUAUUGGGCGUAAAGAGCUCGUAGGCGGUCUGUCGCGUCGGAUGUAGAAAAGUCCAAGGCUUAACCCGUGGACCUGCAUUCGAUACGGGCAGACUAGAGUUCGGGUAGGGGAGACUGGAAUUCCUGGUGUAGCGGUGAAAUGCGCAGAUAUCAGGAGGAACACCGGUGGCGAAGGCGGGUCUCUGGGCCGAUACUGACGCUGAGGAGCGAAAGCGUGGGGAGCGAACAGG